rnacentral:rRNA from 1 species
UACGUAGGGGGCAAGCGUUGUUCGGAUUUAUUGGGCGUAAAGGGUGCGUAGGCGGCGGAGUAAGUUGGGUGUGAAAUCCCGGGGCUCAACCUCGGAAUGGCAUUCAAUACUGCUUCGCUAGAGUACUGGAGAGGAGGCUGGAAUUUACGGUGUAGCAGUGAAAUGCGUAGAUAUCUGAAGGAACAUCAGUGGCGAAAGCGACUUCCUGGACCAAUACUGACGCUCAUGUGCGAAAGCGUGGGGAGCAAACAGG